GCCGCCGUAGCUCAACGGUAGAGCCGCCGACUUGUAAUCGGCAGGUUGGGGGUUCAAAUCUCCCCGGCGGCU
rnacentral:tRNA from 1 species